rnacentral:rRNA from 1 species
CAUGGCACUUCAGAGGAUAGCAGAAGCGUUUGGGAAAACGCGCCAGAGAGGGUGAGAGCCCCGUAAGCGAAAUCCAAAGAAGGCCUAUCAGUAUCCUGAGUAGGGCGGGACACGUGAAAUCCCGUUUGAAUCCGCGAGGACCAUCUCGCAAGGCUAAAUACUAACCAGUGACCGAUAGUGAACCAGUACCGUGAGGGAAAGGUGAAAAGAACCCCGGGAGGGGAGUGAAAGAGAACCUGAAACCGUGUGCCUACAAGUAGUCAGAGCCCGUUAACGGGUAAUGGCGUGCCUUUUGUAGAAUGAACCGGCGAGUUGCGUUAGUCAGCAAGGUUAAGUCAGAAAAGACGGAGCCGCAGCGAAAGCGAGUCUGAAGAGGGCGAGCAGUUGGCUGACGCAGACCCGAAACCAAGUGACCUACCCAUGACCAGGUUGAAGGCGCGGUAAAACGCGCUGGAGGACCGAACCCACGUAAGUUGAAAAUUGCGGGGAUGAGUUGUGGGUAGCGGUGAAAUUCCAAACGAACUUGGAGAUAGCUGGUUCUCUCCGAAAUAGCUUUAGGGCUAGCCUCGCAAAGAGGAUGCUGGAGGUAGAGCUCUGUUUGGACUAGGGGCCCGUCAAGGGUUACUGAAUUCAGAUAAACUACGAAUUCCAGACAUUUAUGUGCGGGAGUCAGACUGCGAGUGAUAAGAUCCGUAGUCGAAAGGGAAACAGCCCAGAUCACCAGUUAAGGUCCCAAAAUUCAUGCUAAGUGGAAAAGGAUGUGGAGUUGCGCAGACAACUAGGACGUUGGCUCAGAAGCAGCCAUCAUUCAAAGAGUGCGUAAUAGCUCACUAGUCGAGUGACGCCGCGCCGAAAAUUUACCGGGGCUAAGCAUGAUACCGAAACUGUGGAUGUGCAUUUAUGCACGUGGUAGGAGAGCGUUCUAGCGGCGGUGAAGCAUGACUGAGAAGACAUGUGGAGCUUCUAGAAGUGAGAAUGCCGGUAUGAGUAACGAAAGACAGGUGAGAAUCCUGUCCGCCGCAAGACUAAGGUUUCCUGGGGCAGGCUCGUCCGCCCAGGGUAAGUCGGGACCUAAGGCGAGGCCGAGAGGCGUAGUCGAUGGACAACAGGUUGAAAUUCCUGUACUGCACCGAAUCGUUAUGAGCGAUGGAGGGACGCAGGAGGCUAGCAGCGCGUGGUGCUGGAUACCACGUUCAAGCGUCAAGUCUGAGAGCGAGUCAAAUGCUUGCUUUCAUAAGGACAAGGCGUGAUGAGGAGCGAAAUUAAAGUAGCGAAGGUUGCGACGUCACACUGCCGAGAAAAGCUUCUAGCCAGAAACGGUGCACCCGUACCGCAAACCGACACAGGUAGUCGAGGAGAGUAUCCUCAGGUGAGCGAGAGAACUCUCGUUAAGGAACUCGGCAAAAUGGCCCCGUAACUUCGGGAGAAGGGGCGCUGGUCGCAAGAUCAGCCGCAGUGAAAAGGCCCAAGCAACUGUUUAUCAAAAACACAGGCAUCUGCAAAAUCGUAAGAUGAAGUAUAGGUGCUGACACCUGCCCGGUGCUGGAAGGUUAAGAGGAGAGCUUAGCGCAAGCGAAGGUUUGAAUUGAAGCCCCAGUAAACGGCGGCCGUAACUAUAACGGUCCUAAGGUAGCGAAAUUCCUUGUCGGGUAAGUUCCGACCUGCACGAAAGGUGUAAUGAUUUGGGCACUGUCUCAACGAGAGACUCGGUGAAAUUAUAAUACCCGUGAAGAUGCGGGUUACCCGCGACAGGACGGAAAGACCCCAUGGAGCUUUACUGCAGUUUAAUAUUGGGUAUCUGUCAAGCAUGUACAGGAUAGGUAGGAGCCGGAGAAGAUAGGACGCCAGUCUUAUCUGAGGCGCUGUUGGGAUACUACCCUUGCUUGACGGAUGCUCUAACUCAGGCCUGUGAUCCAGGCCGAGGACAGUGUUUGACGGGCAGUUUGACUGGGGCGGUCGCCUCCUAAAGUGUAACGGAGGCGCCCAAAGGUUCCCUCAGAAUGGUUGGAAAUCAUUCG